rnacentral:rRNA from 1 species
UAGGGAAUCUUCCACAAUGGGCGAAAGCCUGAUGGAGCAACGCCGCGUGAGUGAGGAAGGCUUUCGGGUCGUAAAGCUCUGUUGCCAGGGAAGAAUAAGGGUGUGUUAACUGCACAUCCGAUGACGGUACCUGAGAAGAAAGCCCCGGCUAACUACGUGCCAGCAGCCGCGGUAAUACGUAGGGGGCAAGCGUUGUCCGGAAUUAUUGGGCGUAAAGCGCGCGCAGGCGGCUCUUUAAGUCUGGUGUCUAAGUGCGGGGCUCAACCCCGUGAUGCACCGGAAACUGGGGAGCUUGAGUGCAGAAGAGGAGAGCGGAAUUCCACGUGUAGCGGUGAAAUGCGUAGAGAUGUGGAGGAACACCAGUGGCGAAGGCGGCUCUCUGGACUGUAACUGACGCUGAGGCGCGAAAGCGUGGGGAGCAAACAG